rnacentral:lncRNA from 1 species
UUGCUUCGGUAGCUUCCAGUGCAAAUAAAGGUACCCAUGCCACCCCAUUCUGGCCAACAGUAAAAUUGAUGGAAGCCUCUGGUUGGGGCUUCAAGGAAAGCUUUAUCAAAAGAUAAACUCACUGGCUUUAGUCCCUAGGUUGCCUAUCUGACCUCCUUAUCUGCUACCUGGACACCUCUAUGCCCCUCUACCCAUACUCUCUUGUGGAUCUUUAUUCAGAUGAAGACCUUACCCAUCACCUUCAAACUGAGACCUUUCCCAUCACCUAUGACAAAACCACAUCUCUACAGAUAACCACUCUCUCCAUGUACUGCCCCGUAGCCUUCUCUACAGCAUUCAUCUUCUGACACCUUCCUCCUCAUCAAUUCAUAACUAAUGCUUAUAUGACAUUUACUUUGUGCCUGGCACAGUUCCAAAUUUUCUACACACACACACACAUCAUUUCCUUAUGCCUUGAUUAGGUCAGAAUCCUUCAAGGCGCUUCAGAUUAUUAGCAACCUAGCCCAGCCCCCAACAAAAAUGAACUCUCUUGGUUUCUACACAGCAACAUCCAAAGGGCAGCUGGAGGAUGGGGGUAGGGUGAAGACUAUUAAAGCUAUCUUGAUUAAGAAACAGUCAGUAUAUGAGCCAAACCCACAAGUCCAGGUGGCACUGUUUGGAAAAACAGAAAGCAAGAAAACUAUCAUCUGUAAUUUCACAGUAUAACAGACGACACAUGGAGUGAAUAAUGAAUUGUUUCUGCUAUACUAAGACACAUAGCCAGCCUACUUGAGGAGCUAUUUUCAAAUGACCAAGACCCAGGAGGCCCAGGCUAAACUAAUUUAGCCCUAAUUCUACAAGCACAGCAGUGAACAGAAGAUCUUUAAAUCUUGUGGACUCAAAUAUCUCUUCAGAAUAUUAAUAUUCACACAGCAUGCAGCAGACUGCCUAUACCUUGGCAAUGCUAAUGACAUUGACAUGUCUACCUCCCUGAGCCCAGAUCACCAUAAAACCAAGCCUAAACUAAAAGUGAGCAACCAAAAAAGCCCCAGAUUUUUAUAUAAGUCAUGGGACGAAUAAAAUGAUUUAACAAUUGAGCCAUAUUUUUAAAAAUACUUGCAAAAUAUGCAUAUAGAUAAGUGCUAGUCCCUUCACUUAACAAACUUAAAAGUCCCAUGCCAAAAACUUCUAAGAAUCAUUUCCAAGUAAAUACAGAGAGAAUAGGGAAGUGCCCUAAAUAUAUUUUUGGAAUUCAGUUCUUUUCUGAUCAACUCUAGCUUGUCAGAAUAAAAGAACGUAAAAAAGUAUAAGAAGAAUACAUUUCUUUAUAAUACAAUACCUUUGAAUACAAUUCUUCUUAUACUUACUCUAUAAUUGUACUUACUCUACAGUUUUCUGCAAACGUACUUACUCUACA